CGAAAUUGACAAAUUUAAACAAAACUCAGCCUGAAAAGGGCUGUAUGAAACUCCUGUAUGUAGAUGUCAGAGAAUCGGUAAAGCGCCAUAAAGCGCCAUAAAGCGUCGUAAGGCGACUUGGCCGGGUUCUUUGACAACCAAAUAAAACGAAAAGCGACGGUUCAGUUGGAGUAAAAUCCAAUUGACCGCAGGGGAACCGAUAUGAAAGUAUCGAAACCCAUCGCUGCGAAGCAGCGAUCAAAUCCCCAUGAAAUGGGGUCGUUAGAAGUCUGGCGAAUUUGAGGUUCGACUCACACCCCCCAGUGAGAAACCUCCCAGAUUGAGCCUUAGUGUGGCCUCAAAUUCGUCAGACUUCUGGUGAUCCCAGCGCAGUGGACCCACCCGUUCCCAUUCCGAACACGGAAGUGAAACGCUGCAGCCCCGAUGAUAGUGCAUGUCUAGCUUGUGCGAAAGUAGGACGUCGCCAGUU
rnacentral:rRNA from 1 species